AUGUCUGCUAUGGAGAUUUUUGGGCAUGUCAGAGAAGUUGAUUCUAAUCCAAAUAUCUUCAUUGUUUAUCGCAUCUUGUUUACUAUCCUUGUGGUGGUUGUAUCGGCUGAAAGAAGUAUUAGAAAGGUGAAACUGUUGAAGAAUUAUUUGAGGUCAACAAUGACUCAAAAGAGGUUAAAUGAUUUGGCUACAUUGUGCAUUGAGAAGAAAUUAUUGGAUGAGAUUGACAUUGACUCCAUCAAAAGUGACUUUGCAUCGAGGAAUGUUAAAAGAAAAUUUUAA
rnacentral:rRNA from 1 species